AUUAAGGUGGCAGAUAAUAUGCAUUAGAUUUAAAACCUAAAGAUGAGUAAGUAUUCUCUUAAUA
rnacentral:tRNA from 1 species